CUGACUUCCCUUCAUUUCAGAAAAGGUGCAGUCAGAUCUCCUUCACAAGUACCAGAGCAGAGAUGACAUCCUUAUCUUGACUGUGCGGCUGGCUGUCAUCGUGGCUGUCAUCCUCACUGUACCGGUGUUGUUUUUCACAGUUCGCUCAUCACUGUUUGAACUGGCUAAGAAGACAAAGUUCAACUUGUGCCGCCACAUCUGGGUGACCAUCGUACUCUUGGUGAUCAUCAACUUGUUGGUGAUCUUUAUUCCCUCCAUGAAGGAUAUUUUUGGAGUUGUAGGAGUGACUUCGGCCAAUAUGCUCAUCUUCAUUCUUCCUUCGUCUCUCUACCUAAGAAUCACAAACCAGGAUGGAGAUAAAGGCACUCAAAGAAUUUGGGCGGCCCUUUUCCUGGCGCUGGGGGUGUUGUUCUCCCUGAUCAGCAUCCCGCUGGUUAUCUAUGACUGGGCUUGCUCGUCCAGCCACGACGAAGGCCACUGAGACCGGCAAAGGAAAGCCAGCACCUGCCCCCGCCCGCCCAGCCAGUCACCCAUCAGCAACCCUUCGCCACUUCUUUUGCAAGUUUACAGACAGACGGAAAUGCACAUGACAACACCCGGGCUGUGACACAGAGACCCGCUCUGGAACGACUCGUGUCCUCCUGGGAUCGUGGAUUUUAUCUCUCCCAGGUUUCAUGCAGUCAUCUUUCCCUCUCGUUACGUGUUGUGGCUCCUUCUCAGUCCCUUAGAACUCUGAAAACACCAUCAUCGGGUGUAUUUAUUUGUCAGACACCGGGUUCUGAAACCGUUUUCCUACUGACGUCACCGCUCACACUAUCUGUAUCUUUUUAGAAAAGAAAAUAAUCUUAAAUUGUAUAUAUUUAUUUUGCUUUACAGAAAAAAAAGGGUUUCAGGAAAAAAAAGGUUUCAUAAAUACUUUGCCUAUUUUGGUUAACAUAGCACACAGGGGUAAUCCUUUGAAAGACAGGUUGCCUGCCAUUGCUGCAUCUGAGCAUGCCCAGUAUUCGAGGCGGCUCUGGUCACCCAGCAUGGGCUGUCCUGGACCUGCUGGUACUCCAUCCUGCUCCCACAUGGAGCUAGUCCCUGGGAGUGUCUGUGGCUGGGCAGGGGUGGGCAUGGCACUUGUGGAAAUAUAUUGAAAUGUGCAUUUGGGAGAGCUCACAAGGGAAGCUUUGUUUUCCCCCUUGACAUCUGAUGUCACAGGUAACUCUAGGCUGAAUCACCUGCUUGGGGGCCCCUGGCUCCUGCAGUGAUGAAUGAGACUGCCCCAAAGCCUAAGGAAACACUCCUGCUGCAGAUGCCAUCAGUCUACACCUGUAUCACUGAAGGGGCAGGGGGCAUGUGUGAUGUGUUCAUUUAUGAGCCCGGCAUCAUUUAGUCAUGUCCACCAGCUUUUUGCAACAGAGAAUAAUGUGUACCUAAGGAUGGCCUGUCUUAGGUCGUCCUCUUUUGUAUUGGGUACUUUACUUUAGGGGAGUCUUUAAAAGACUUGUUUUAUAUCUAUAAAUCUAGGUUAUUACAAAUACAAGAGUUUUGUACCUUAAAUAAGCCUCAUUUCUAUUCUCCGUUAACUCUCCAUCCAAUAUUGAAGGUAAAUCUUCUGAGAUAGUCUUUGUGGAAAACUUCUGAAGUCACGGUGUCCCCUCUUGCCCGAGCUGGGGAGGACAAGAGGCCCUUCCUCAUCCGUGUUUCUUCCUGUUAUCCCUCUACUGCCUGUUCCAUGUGACCCACGCAAGAGGGCAGAGUCUCCUAUGUUCUCCCUAGCACCUCCCGAGGGGACCAGAAAAAAAUGACAAGGAGACUGAAAACUACAAGAGCUUUGGACAUGGCAGCUAGGGAGCCCAGAGCCGCGUGUCCUGCUGGUGGCCACCUGCGGCUGGCCAUAACUGCGGCUGGUCAUGGCUUAUUUACAGUAGGAAGUGCACAUGCUGUGAGCACAGUGUGCCCCCAGGGCUCGUUUGCAGCCAGAUGUAUUCUGGUUGAAUUCUCAGAUACAAAAAUGCACUGUGCACAGAUUUCUUACCUAGAAACAGGUAGGAUCUAAUAGAGAGUUGGCAGAGGACCCAGACGCUUAGCUGUAGACUCUUUCUGCUGACUAAAGUCCCCAAAGCUCUUCAGGAAUCUCAUGAGAGUCUCACAGAGAUGUCCCUUUGUACAAUCAGGUCCCUUAGAUAAGGUAGGUGUCCAAGGUCCUGCCACCAUCCUCCUGGGAAAGAAGGAAAAGCUACUUCCUGUAUCACAUCAUCACCUUGGUACAGUGCUUCAGAGUCUGUUGGCCUUGAGCUCAGACAACUGAACUCCGGGGCCUAGAUAGGAAAAGGGUAAAGCCCACAGCUGCCUCUGCCCUUUGCGGAAAUGCUCUCCAUGUCAUGGGGAAUGAUAGAAAAUUUGUAGCUUGUUCGGCACUGUUUAAAAUGUAUCGACUCAGUUUGCAAGCCAUCCAGCCCUUUGUUUUCCUCCUUAUUCUGUAACCAUCCUUCAUCCUUUUUACAUUCACAAAGUGAAUUCAAACACUCUCAUUAACUCUGGGAUGUGCUGUGAUUUUGGAUCUCUGGAUUUCAUGUGUUGGUAAAAUUACUGUAUUAUUUACAGUAUAUUUAUUUGCAGGAA